rnacentral:rRNA from 1 species
UAGGGAAUAUUGCAAAAUGGGCGAAAGCCCGAUGCAGCAACGCCGCGUGGGCGAUGAAGGCCUUCGGGUCGUAAAGCCCUUUUUGAGGGGAUGAGGAAAGACAGUACCCUCAGAAUAAGCCUCGGCUAACUACGUGCCAGCAGCCGCGGUAAAACGUAGGAGGCGAGCGUUAUCCGGAUUUACUGGGCGUAAAGCGCGUGCAGGCGGAUUGGAGAGUUGGAUGUGAAAGCUCCCGGCUUAACUGGGAGAGGUCGUUCAAUACUUCCAGUCUUGAGUGCAGUAGAGGGAAGUGGAAUUCCGGGUGUAGUGGUGAAAUGCGUAGAUAUCCGGAGGAACACCCGUGACGAAAGCGGCUUCCUGGACUGUAACUGACGCUCAGACGCGAAAGCUAGGGUAGCAAACG